rnacentral:tRNA from 1 species
GGUGGUGUAAGGCGAACAUCGCUGCCCGGAAAGCAGAAGAUGCGGGUUCGAGUCCCACCUGGCGCG